rnacentral:rRNA from 1 species
CUAGUACAAUCUCUGAAUCCUGCUCAGUGCAGGUACCUGAAACCCCGUUUCAACGGGAAGAAGGGCCUGUAAACAGCGGGGGUAACUAUGACCCUCUUAAGGUAGCGUAGUACCUUGUCGCUUAAUUGGCGACUUGCAUGAAUGGAUCAAUGAGAGCCUACUGUCCCUAACUGGAAUCCGGUGAAGCUUACAUUCUAGUGCACAGUCUAGAGACCUCUAGGGGGAAGUGAAGACCCCGUGGAGCUUUACUGCAGCCUGUCGCUGGGUUGUGGUUCUGGAUGUACAGAGUAGGUAGGAGGCAUCGAAGCGUAUGCGCCAGCAUACGUGGAGCCGCAAUUGGGACACUACCCUUCUGGGACUACGACCCUAACUCUGAGAAGAGGACCCCGAUAGGUGGGCAGUUUGCCUGGGGCGGGACGCCCUUGAAAAGAUAUCAAGGGCGCGCAAUGGUUGACUCAAGCGGGUCGGAAACUCGCUGAAGAGUGCAAGAGCAUAAGUCAGCCUGACGUUAUUCAGCAUAGCAGUGGAUGACGAGACGAAAGUCGGUUCUAGCGAACUUUUGAGCCUCCUUGGUGGGGGCCAAAAAUGACAGAAAAGUUACCCCGGGGAUAAUUGAGUCGUUGCCGGCAAGAGUACAUAUCGACCCGGCAGCUUGCUACCUCGAUGUCGGUUCUUUCCAUCCUGCCGUGCAGCAGCGGCCAAGGGUGAGGUUGUUCGCCUAUUAAAGGAGAUCGUGAGCUGGGUUUAGACCGUCGUGAGACAGGUCGGUUACUAUCUACUAGAGGUGCACGAGGUCUGCGGGUAAGCUGCUUUUAGUACGAGAGGAACCAAGCAGCGGCGCCACUGGUGUACCGGUUGUCUGACAAGGCAUAGCCGGGCAGCUACGCGCCAAGGAAUAAGAGCUGAAUGCAUCUAAGCUCGAACUCUGACCUAAAAAGAGACCUCAUUAAGGAUUCCGGUAGAAGACCGGUUUGAUAGAAACGGGAUGUAAGCACCAAGGCAACGAGGUGUUCAGUCCGCGUUUACUAACUAUCCGUUCCUUUCCU